GGGGAAUCUUGCACAAUGGGGGCAACCCUGAUGCAGCGACGCCGCGUGAGCGAUGAAGCCCUUCGGGGCGUAAAGCUCUUUCGACCGGAACGAUAAUGACGGUACCGGGAGAAGAAGCUGCGGCUAACUACGUGCCAGCAGCCGCGGUAAUACGUAGGCAGCAAGCGUUGUUCGGAGUUACUGGGCGUAAAGAGUGCGUAGGCGGCGAGCCAAGUUUGGUGUGAAAUCUCCCGGCCUAACCGGGAGGGUGCGCCGAAAACUGGUUGGCUGGAGUAUGGGAGAGGAAAGCGGAAUUCCUGGUGUAGCGGUGAAAUGCGUAGAUAUCAGGAGGAACACCUGCGGUGUAGACAGCUUUCUGGACCAAAACUGACGCUGAGGCACGAAAGCGUGGGUAGCAAACA
rnacentral:rRNA from 1 species